UUCCGGUUGAUCCCGCCGGAGGCUACCGCUAUUGGAGUUCGAUUAAGCCAUGCGAGUCGCGAGUCUUAGGGACUCGGCGUACCGCUCAGUAACACGUGGGUAACCUGCCCUAUGCUGGGAGAUAACCUCGGGAAACUGAGAAUAAUACCCCAUAGUUCACUACGCCUGGAACGGUGAGUGGAUGAAAGCUCCGGCGGCAUAGGAUGGGCCUGCGGCGUAUCAGGUUGUAGGGGGUGUAAUGUACCCUCUAGCCCUCUACGCGUACGGGUGUUGAGAGACAUCGCCCGGAGAUGGAUUCUGAGACACGAAUCCAGACCCUACGGGGUGCAGCAGGCGCGAAAACUUGGCAAUGCGAGAAAUCGUGACCAGGGAACUCCAAGUGCAUCGGGUAAGACCGAUGCUUUUCUUGACUCUUCAAAGGUCUUGGAAUAAGGGGUGGGUAAGGACGGUGCCAGCCGCCGCGGUAAUACCGGCGCCCCAAGUGGUAGUCGCUUUUAUUGGGCCUAAAACGUCCGUAGCCGGUCUGGUACAUUCGUGGGUAAAUCAACCAGCUCAACUGGUUGAAUUCUGCGAGCACGGCCAGACUUGGGACCGGGAGAGGUGUGGGGUACUCUCAGGGUAGGGGUAAAAUCCUGUCAUCCUGAGAGGACCACCUGUUGCGAAGGCGCCACACUAGAACGGAUCCGACGGUCAGGGACGAAGCCUAGGGGCACGAACCGGAUUAGAUACCCGGGUAGUCCUAGGUGUAAACGCUGUGGACUUGAUGUUGGGGGCGCUCCGAGCGCACUCAGUGUCGAAGCGAAGGUGAUAAGUCCACUGCCUGGGGAGUACGGUCGCAAGGCUGAAACUUAAAGGAAUUGGCGGGGGAGCACCGCAACCUGAGGAUUGUGCGGUUUAAUUGGAUUCAACGCCGG
rnacentral:rRNA from 1 species